AAAGCUGCGGCAGGCCUAAACAUGCAAGUCGAGCGGUAGAGAGGUGCUUGCACCUCUUGAGAGCGGCGGACGGGUGAGUAAUAUCUAGGAAUCUGCCUGGUAGUGGGGGAUAACGUUCGGAAACGGACGCUAAUACCGCAUACGUCCUACGGGAGAAAGCAGGGGACCUUCGGGCCUUGCGCUAUCAGAUGAGCCUAGAUCGGAUUAGCUAGUUGGUGAGGUAAUGGCUCACCAAGGCUACGAUCCGUAACUGGUCUGAGAGGAUGAUCAGUCACACUGGAACUGAGACACGGUCCAGACUCCUACGGGAGGCAGCAGUGGGGAAUAUUGGACAAUGGGCGAAAGCCUGAUCCAGCCAUGCCGCGUGUGUGAAGAAGGUCUUCGGAUUGUAAAGCACUUUAAGUUGGGAGGAAGGGCAGUUACCUAAUACGUGAUUGUCUUGACGUUACCGACAGAAUAAGCACCGGCUAACUCUGUGCCAGCAGCCGCGGUAAUACAGAGGGUGCAAGCGUUAAUCGGAAUUACUGGGCGUAAAGCGCGCGUAGGUGGUUUGUUAAGUUGAAUGUGAAAUCCCCGGGCUCAACCUGGGAACUGCAUCCAAAACUGGCAAGCUAGAGUAUGGUAGAGGGUAGUGGAAUUUCCUGUGUAGCGGUGAAAUGCGUAGAUAUAGGAAGGAACACCAGUGGCGAANGCGACUACCUGGACUGAUACUGACACUGAGGUGCGAAAGCGUGGGGAGCAAACAGGAUUAGAUACCCUGGUAGUCCACGCCGUAACGAUGUCAACUAGCCGUUGGGAGUCUUGAACUCUUAGUGGCGCAGCUAACGCAUUAANUUGACCGCCUGGGGAGUACGGCCGCAAGUUAAAACUCAAAUGAAUUGACGGGGCCCGCACAAGCGGUGGAGCAUGUGGUUUAAUUUCNAAGCAACGCGAANAACCAUUACCAGCCUUGACAUCCAAUGAACUUUCUAGAGAUAGAUAGUGCCUUCGGGCACAUUGANACAGUGCUGCAUGGCUGUCNUCAGCUCGUGUCGUGAGAUGUUGGGU
rnacentral:rRNA from 1 species